rnacentral:rRNA from 1 species
GACGAACGCUGGCGGCGUGCUUAACACAUGCAAGUCGAACGGUAAGGCCCUUCGGGGUACACGAGUGGCGAACGGGUGAGUAACACGUGGGUGAUCUGCCCUGCACUUCGGGAUGAGCCUGGGAAACUGGGUCUAAUACCGGAUAGGACUCCGGACUGCAUGGUCUGGGGUGGAAAGCUUUUGCGGUGUGGGAUGGGCCCGCGGCCUAUCAGCUUGCUGGUGGGGUGAUGGCCUACCAAGGCGACGACGGGUAGCCGGCCUGAGAGGGUGACCGGCCACACUGGGACUGAGAGACGGACCAGACUCCUACGGGAGGCAGCAGUGGGGAAUAUGCACAAUGGGCGCAAGCCUGAUGCAGCGACGCCGCGUGAGGGAUGACGGCCUUCGGGUUGUAAACCUCUUUCAGCAUCGACGAAGCGAAAGUGACGGUAGGUGCAGAAGAAGGACCGGCCAACUACGUGCCAGCCGCCGCCGUAA